CAGACCAGAUGUGGUUUGCAGAACUUUCUGGAGCUUUAAACAGUCGGAGGCUAUCUGUCCCUUCCGGGGGCACCCUGCUCAGUCAGGAUACAGACUUCAGACAGGGAGCCUUCCUCACCACAGCCUGAUGGCUCAUCUUCCAAAGGGCUUCCGUGCUUUCAUCCUUUGCCAACAAACGCAACUGAAAUCAGGAGAUCUGGAUGCAUCCUGGACAAGGGAGACACAACACAAAUCCCUCUAACAGGUUGUGGACAUUGUGAGCUAGACAUGGAGACAGGCCCAGAGCACAGAGACAGCUGGGAUGAAGAAUGCCUACCACAACCCAGGGGAGGCCUGGAUUUCAGGAGCAGGUAACCCCAGGGCCGAACCUUGAGAGACCAUUGGUGUGCCAGAGAUUUCUGGUAAUGAUCACUUUUCAGUGGAGGAGAACAAGAAAUAAACAAUCACUCUGGCUCCUCUCUCCAGAACUUAUGGAGAAAAGCCCUGACCACUUGGCCUUCUCAUAUCUCCUUGACAAAGUUACUGAUUUUCACCUUUGUUCUUCAGUGAUCAUUGUUCUCCAGGAGAAAAAGCUGUUUGUUUAAUGAGACUCCUAUGUCCUGCUGGAACAGUGAAUAUUGAGAAGGGGGCCUUAGGAAGCUCUGGUGAAAACCCAGGGCUCCUAAUUAAGCCAGGUCUUCUGCUCACCCAAAGACCCAGCCUGGACUUCAGAACAAAUCACCUGAAGCCUGCAUAUUUCAAUAAUUUAAUAGGACAGAUUUCCCAGGGGUGUUUUGAGGGCAGCAGCUCAUUUUCAAGUAAGAAUUUUCCCAGAAGUAACAAGCAUAUCUUUA
rnacentral:sRNA from 1 species